GGCUCCUAAUCCUCUUGUUUUCGGUACAGUCAGCAGAUGUGGCUUCUUUUAGCUGAAUAAUCCGUUAAGGGAAUAAUAAUUUUAAAAAGGAGAUCGACCUCACCCAAAGAGGAUGGCGAACGAGAUUAGGGCUUGUAGAUCUAUUGCCUGCUUAUGGGCUGGCUGAAACGCUGCGGACUGCGACCAGUCUCUUAAAAAGAACAAAAAGAGGAAGACCUUGAGUGGACCCCAGGACAAAGCACUUUGGGCUCAACAAGAAGCGACGCGCGGGAGCGCUGGCUCCGAACGGGAGUGAUCUCCGGUGCCCAAGAGCGCCCAUCCAGCGUGCGGACCUCUGAGGGGAUCCAGCUGCAUUAGACACGAGUGACCUUUUAAAUCUACGCCCACCCUUCACCUGCAAGAGGACUGCAGCAGGCGAGUUUCGGAAGGCUGCCUCCCCAGAUCCCGGCCCGGAGCGCGGCAGCUCGCCCCUGCGGCACGCCCGGCCAGCCUGCGCCCGCACUCAGCCAGCGAGGAAAAAGCCUGGAUCCGAAAGGAUGGGGGAGAACAAAGAGCCUUUGGAAGACGUCGCUGUUAUCUCAUUGUCUGUGUGAUUGGGGGAGCUGCGGUAGGGAGGAUGCUGUGGUCCUGUUCUCCCUGCCUCCCCACCCCCAUCCUUCUCCCCGCUGUCAGUGCGCACGCACGCGCGCUUCUUUUUACUUCUUUUUCCUUGUUUUCUCAUUCCAUCUUCUCCCCAGCCCCCUUCCUUUCUUGUACCUGUCCUUCCUUCCUCCUUUCCUUCCUCAGGAGAAAGGCCUCUCUCUCCGUGUUCACAGCGGACCUUGAUUUAAAUGUCCAUACAAUUAAGGCACGCGGUGAAUGCCAAGAAUGGGGCUGGCUGAGCACCGUCGGUCCGCGAGGGCCCGCCGGGAAGGAGCCACAGAGCCGAGGCGCCCUCCGCAGAGCUCAGCGCCGCGGCUUGGGGCGGGAGGGGUCUCGGGCUUGCGCUGGCCAGGCUGCCCCAAACCGGAGCCCUUGGGGUGGGGAGGUGUGCAGCUUGUGACAGACAGGGGGGCUUAGAGACGCAGACAGACUCAGGGAGAGAAGCUGAUUCUGUGACAGAAACACAGAUCUGGGCAAGCACAGAUGUGAUGGGGGGCGGGGGGGGUGCCUGUGAGCGCAUUACGGAGUGCUUCUGUGUGCAUAUUUUUCUCUGGGCUGGGGGCGCAUUGUAUGUGGGUCGACACCUUCCAUGGCUGUGUUUUUGUUCUGGGCUUAGCUUUUGGUUUGCCCUUUAAAAAAAUAAUCUGGCAUCCAGAAGACUGGCAGUCUGUGCCAGGGCUUGGACUGCAGAUAUAUUGUGUUCUCCUUGAGGUUGGGGGUGGGGGGGAGGAGGCUGGGUAGCCAGUUGGAAGGGAGGAGGGAGGUAUUUGUCAUUCUUUGCUGUAGAGCUGGGGGCACCUGACAAGCUUAAGGAAGUCAUUGGGAUAUAUGAGAAAGAAGGAACAAACUCCUGGAAGGUUCACAAGCUCCAUCGGGGCUGAAAGCAUGGCCAGGGCUCUUAGGAGCAUCUCACUUCCUCCUUGCGGCUGUAAUUGUAGUUUCAGGCAGAGAUCCAGGACAUGCAGAGGAAGGGAGAGGCGCAAUAACCUACAUGUACCAAAGGGGGGGAGGGAAUGAAUUCCUUCUUAAAUCUGAACCGAAGGAAAAACAGAAUGUGCACAAGUGUUUCUGAGGAAAGACUGUUUUGAAAGAGGCUGUCAGGGAAUAGAAAGGGCUAGCCCUCCCUCAUCCUGAAGAAGCUGCUUCCCAAAUCAGGCCUUCCUCCCCAGCCCUAGAUGGAGAGCAGCAGCUGGUCCUAGGGAGAACCCCUAGCUGCAGCGGAUAGUGGCAAGACCUAAACUCAUAAAUUUCCAGGUGGAGAAAAUGGUAGAGGCGCAGGUCCCUGCAGAGAAAGGAGGCCAAGAGCUGGAUCUUCCCACCAGGAAGCCUGCUGCAUCCCUUUCCCCACCCUUGGCAGAGGCCUGUCUUUGCAAGGCCAAGGCCAUAAGGGAUGCUUGGGAUUUUAGUUUGAUUCCUGACACAUUAAUCGAGGCCUAAAGGAGUCUUGGGUAAAGCUUGCUUGCUUUUCCUGCGCAAAGCCUCAGUCUAACCCACUUAGCAAAUUAGUAUUCAAGGAUACCAUGGAGCCCUAGCCUCAUUUCUUCCCAAAUACUUAUUGAGUACCUACUAUGUGCCAAUCAUUGUGUAAUUAUAUCUUAGGUUCUUCCUUUGCCCUCCUAAAGGAGUGUCUGGAGUCAGGUGAGGCUAAGUGCGCUGUGCCCCCGCUAGAUACUCCCAGAACCUUCUCUGUGGAAAUGUACCACAACCUGCUCACCCCUGCAGAAGGUGGCAGUCUUCAUCAUGCAAACUGUAGGCAUGGUGCUAUCCCUCAAGUCCCAGAAGGCAAGUUUGCCCAAAGGACCGAAAAGAGAGCAGUUUCUCCGGCCCCUGAGCCUUAGCCAACGUUGUCCUAAGAGGCAGCAAAACCCAGGGCCUUCACAACAGACCAGCCUCCAAAUGGAGCCUCCGUGGGGUGUAAAUACCCUUGCCUCCCCCCUCCCUCUUCCCUAAGAAGGCUGCUCUUGUGUUGGGGGUGGGGGAGCACGGUUUAAGCCUCUGAUGACCAACCCUUUGCCCCACGGUUGUCCAAGAUAGUGAGAUUUGUCUCUGUAAUUGCUUCCCCAUGAGUCCAUCAGACGUGGCUUACCCUUCCUCUGAUGCGCCUGCCCGGCAGUACAGUCUCCAGCUCCCUCCCCCACCCAAGUAAUGGGCCUUUUAGGUGGAAACCUAACACGCUUCUCCCUGAGAGCUCAAACCACAGGCACCAUGGACAAGGCCCGCCAGGUUCCUGCUGCUGAAAAACUAGGCAGGGAGGGGCGUAUUUUUUAUUACUUAUGUAAACUCUUGUUCCAGAAAGCUUUAAUGGGUGUGGGAGUGUUCUAGGUUUGCCGGUCUGUGUGCCUGGGUGUGGGGGUUUUCCUGUGUUCACCAGGUCUCAUUAUGAAAUGUAUUGUUAUGUGGGGCUUUAAUGGCCGAAAUGGCAGAGAUGAAUGCACCACUCUGCCCCUGGUGUAAUUUCAAGGCCCCUUUUGUGUUCACCAAAUAGAGGCAUCCGAGUGAAGGUCAGUCCUAGAUCCUUCCCUUCUGCUAUAUUCAGGGCCUGUUUAUACCUAGUGAUACUUACAUAAGAAAACUGAAGAUUUAUGCCCUUCUAAGGCAUUUCUUUAACUCUCAACAUCAUCUGCUUGCUUGUCUACUUGAGCCCCUCUAGUUACAUCCUCUGCCUUAAAUGAAGGGGAAAUAUAUGAUUGUUAAAAGAUGGGACAUGUUGAGGCAGUUUGCUGACUGAAUAUGCCAAGAAAGCCCCCAUGAGUCCACACACAUCACCAUCAUUAUGGUCUUCGUGACUGUGGGAGUUCAUAUGUCCCUCAAGGUGACUGCACCAGAUAUAUUAAGAUGGAUUUAGAAAUGUUAUCAAAGGAAAGAUUGGUAAUAUUAUUCUUUCUCCUGCCAGAGACGGCCCAGGCCCAGAUCUCUGUUUAAGCAGAAAAGAAACAGAUCUUGUAACAAAAGCUAAGGUAAAUUCCGCUAUCAUUUCUAUCACCAAAGGGGUGGGGAGCAGGGACAGUUUUUGUGGCUUAGCCAGAGAAAUGAAUAACUGGGUAGAGUUGCUUUCCCAGCAGGCAUAUGCCCAUACACACACGUAUGUACAUACAUUUUCUCUCAUAACCAUAUCCAUUGCUUACAUUUAUAGAAAAGCAUUUAAACACACACACACACACACACACACACACACACACAUCUAUCCAUCUAUACUGUCUGCACAGGGAGAUAAUUUUCUCUUUCCUUCUACUGAACUUACAUAAUACCCCCACCCCUUGUUCCAACCUUAGAAUGGAGUCCUCUGGGGGCAGCUGCAAAGCACUCUCCCUAGGACAGAUGGAGCCUCCCCUCCUCAUCUACUCUGUGGGUGGUUUUAGAGCCCCAUGAGUCAACUGGGACUGAGGGUUGUGCUGGUGGUAUGUGCGUGUGAGGCUUCCCUGGCUGAUUGACAGCGAUGAGUAUGUCAAUAACAACAAUUAUGAGAAUUAUGAUACCUAAUAAAGAUUUUUUUUUCUUCCAA